rnacentral:lncRNA from 1 species
UCGCAGUUUUAGGAGUCGGUGAUUAGGCUGGUUUUUUGGGUUACUUUUUCGCUCCGAUUCCUGUAUUUCAUAGUGUUUGGCUUUUGAAUAUUUUAGUUCUUUCAGAGAAAUAUUACUUGCCUUACAGAUUUUGUAAAAAUGUUUCAAUUUUUAUAAGCCGAACGUUAGAGUCCUAAAACAAUACAUCAGUACUACUAUUAUUGUAAACAAACAAACGGAGCACCACUUGGCUCUGUUCCAAGGCCUUUUUCGAGUUCAUCUGGAGGUUUUCGUACUCGUGUACUCGUGAGAUCAAUACUGAAGAGUACGCCGAGCAGUAUCAAGCCAGAAAAUGUUUGCUGAUGAUGAUUGCAUAUUGUCUAUUGAUGUAUUGGGAUGAAUAAUUAAUUAUAACUUAUAACAGCAAGAUUAUAACUAUGAAGCGCUGACUAUGAAGUGAAAAAAUCUAGAAUGAGCGAACUCAGGCAGCUUUACUUUGCUAUGCAGAUGGUAAUGUGCAUUACUCAAGUGUCUGGCAAAUGAAACUUUGCAUUUCUUGAAAAAGGAUUUCAGUAAAAUUGUGAAUGUGACAAGCCAUGCAACGAUAUGAUCAUAUAAUACGUGUUAAUAGUCAUUCGUGACAAUGAUCUUUGGUCCAAUAUACAAUAGCAAAGCUCUCA